CACACCCGCCCGUCACAUCACGAAAAGCCCGUUGUUACUACGAAGCCGUGAUUCAACCGCAAGGAGAUAGCGUCCAAGGUAUGACGUGGUGUAGUUGGGUG
rnacentral:rRNA from 1 species